CCGGGUCAAACGACUGCCCAAACCAAAACCGUGCACCGUACCAUAUUUCCGCUGCGGCGGGCCGCUCGCUGGGGGAGCCCAGGGCCGCAAGGCUGGCCCGCCGAAGCGACAGCUCUGAACUAUAUUUAAGAUUUAAUUCUGAGAGGUUUUAAGCCUUUUUAGGCAUUUUGUCA
rnacentral:misc_RNA from 1 species